rnacentral:rRNA from 1 species
ACGCUGGCGGCGUGCCUAAUACAUGCAAGUCGAACGGUCUUUCUAUGGAAGCUUGCUUCCACUGAGAAGAUAGUGGCGAGCGGGUGAGUAACACGUGGGUAACCUGCCCAUAAGAGGGGGGAUAACAUCCGGAAACGGGUGCUGAUACCGCAUAGUUUUCUUGAUCGCAUGAUCGGGAAAGGAAAGACGGCCUUUGUGCUGUCGCUUAUGGAUGGACCCGCGGCGUAUUAGUUAGUUGGUGAGGUAACGGCUCACCAAGACGAUGAUACGUAGCCGACCUGAGAGGGUGAUCGGCCACAUUGGGACUGAGACACGGCCCAAACUCCUACGGGAGGCAGCAGUAGGGAAUCUUCCGCAAUGGACGAAAGUCUGACGGAGCAACGCCGCGUGAGUGAAAGAAGGUUUUCGGAUCGUAAAACUCUGUUGUCAGAGAAGAACAAGUUGGAGAGUAACUGCCCCAGCCUUGACGGUAUCUGACCAGAAAGCCACGGCUAACUACGUGCCAGCAGCCGC